UGAUAAUGAAAAAAAUAUUUACAAGGCACAUGGGUUUCAAGAGCAAAUAUAAUUUCUUUUUCUUCUAAGAAAAAGUUAUCAAAUAAAUGCCAUAUAAUGGCUCAUAAUCAUAUCCAAUCACACAGCCACGUACUUGUGCCUGGCUAGAUGAAAGCUAACAAAAAAACAUAUAUAUACCAAUAUAUAGCAAAAAUAAUUCAAAUAAGGAAGUGAAAUAAUCUUUGUGGGUGCAGCUACUACUAUACAAACAGAGGCAGGAAGGAGGCACCCUCUCCUUUUUACUGGAACCACUCCACACAGCAUGCUAUUUCCACUCGCCACCCUUGUUGUUUCAGGGCCUUGUUGGACAGUCUUUGUUGUUGGGGCUGUACGUCUCACACGAGUGUCCAGCCGGCUUCAUCUCCAGAGACGGCAGCUUGUGCCACGGCCGCCGGAGCGACGGUAGCACGAUGACCGUGUCGACGGCGCCGUCGGCUGCCAGCAGCGGCCUCCCGGCGGCGGCGGCGGACGGAAGCCUGGUCCAGGAGCCCGACAGGACGGCCAAAAGCAGGAGCAGUGGGAGGGCCGUUGAUCUCGUCAUGGCGCUUGCUUGUCUAGUACCCAGUAGCACGCUGGUCUCUAAGCUGUGUAGCUACCAAAUAAACUUGGC
rnacentral:lncRNA from 1 species